UUAGUGGCGAACGGGUGAGUAACGCGUAGGAAUUUGCCUAGUAGUGGGGGACAACUUGGGGAAACUCAAGCUAAUACCGCAUACGCCCUAAGGGGGAAAGCAGGGGAUCUUCGAUAGAUGAGCCCGCGUUAGAUUAGGUAGUUGGUGAGGUAACGGCUCACCAAGCCGACGAUCUAUAGCUGGUCUGAGAGGACGACCAGCCACACUGGGACUGAGACACGGCCCAGACUCCUACGGGAGGCAGCAGUGGGGAAUAUUGGACAAUGGGGGCAACCCUGAUCCAGCCAUGCCGCGUGAGUGAAGAAGGCCUUCGGGUUGUAAAGCUCUUUCAGAUGAGAAGAUGAUGACGGUAUCAUCAGAAGAAGCUCCGGCUAAUUCCGUGCCAGCAGCCGCGGUAAUACGGGAGUGGCAAGCGUUAUCCGGAAUUAUUGGGCGUAAAGCGUCCGCAGGCGGCCCUUCAAGUCUGCUGUUAAAAAGUGGAGCUUAACUCCAUCAUGGCAGUGGAAACUGUUGGGCUUGAGUGUGGUAGGGGCAGAGGGAAUUCCCGGUGUAGCGGUGAAAUGCGUAGAUAUCGGGAAGAACACCAGUGGCGAAGGCGCUCUGCUGGGCCAUCACUGACGCUCAUGGACGAAAGCCAGGGGAGCGAAAGGGAUUAGAUACCCCUGUAGUCCUGGCCGUAAACGAUGAACACUAGGUGUCGGGGGAAUCGACCCCCUCGGUGUCGCAGCUAACGCGAUAAGUUGACCGCCUGGGGAGUACGGCCGCAAGGUUAAAACUCAAAUGAAUUGACGGGGGCCCGCACAAGCGGUGGAGUAUGUGGUUUAAUUCGAUGCAACGCGAAGAACCUUACCUGGUCUUGACAUAUAGGGAAAAGUUAUAGAAAUAUAAGCCUUCGGGAACGCGGUGACAGGUGCUCCAUGGCUGUCGUCAGCUCGUGGCGUGAAAUGUUGGGUUAAGUCCCAUAACGAGCGCAACCCUUAUCCUUAUUUGCCAGCGAUUCGGUCGGGAACUCUAAGGAGACUGCAGGUGAUAAACCGGAGGAAGGAGGGGACGACGUCAAGACAUCAUGGCCCUUACGGGUAGGGCUACACACGUGUUACAAUGGGGCGUACAGAGGGUUGCUAAAGCGUGAGCUGGUGCCAAUCCUAAAAAAUUUCUCGUAGUCCGGAUUGCAGUCUGCAACUCGACUCCAUGAAGUCGGAAUCGCUAGUAAUCGCGAAUCAGAAUGUCGCGGUGAAUACGUUCUCGGGUCUUGUACACACCGCCCGUCACACCAUGGAAGUGUGUUGCACCAGAAGUAGGUAGUCUAACCUUCGGGAAGGCGCUUACCACGGUGUGAUCCAUGACUGGGGUGAAGUCAUAACAAGGUAGCCGUA
rnacentral:rRNA from 1 species